rfam:Gorilla gorilla gorilla genomic chromosome, chr22, whole genome shotgun sequence
GCCGGGCGUGGUGGCUCACGCCUGUAAUCCCAGCACUUUGGGAGGCCGAGGUGGGUGGAUCGCCUGAGGUCAGGAGUUUGAGACCAGCCUGGCCAACAUGGUGAAACCCCGUCUCUA